GCGCCUCUGGGCGGCGCGAUGCGCAGGCGCGAGCGUUUGGGUCUCGCCGCGCGCGGCGCUCGGUUGUAGCGAGAGUGAGUUCCUGGGUGCCGAGACCCGGCAGCGGGAGCCGGAGCGGGUGGGUGAUCGAGCGUUUCUCCUGCCGCCAUGGCAGCCCUGCGCUACGCGGGACUGGACGACACGGACAGCGAGGACGAGCUGCCCCCGGGCUGGGAGCAGAGAACCACCAAGGACGGCUGGGUUUACUAUGCCAAUCACUCUGAAGAGAAGACCCAGUGGGAGCACCCGAAAACUGGAAAAAGGAAACGGAUAGCGGGAGAUUUGCCGUAUGGAUGGGAACAAGAAACCGAUGAGAACGGACAAGUAUUUUUUGUCGACCAUAUAAAUAAAAGAACCACCUAUUUGGACCCGAGACUGGCAUUUACCGUGGACGACAAUCCUACAAAGCCAACCAGCAGACAGAGAUACGACGGGAGCACCACCGCCAUGGAGAUUCUCCAGGGCCGGGAUUUCACCGGCAAAGUGGUCGUGGUGACCGGGGCCAAUGCAGGCAUAGGGUUUGAAACUGCCAAGUCUUUUGCCCUCCAUGGUGCACACGUGAUCCUCGCCUGCAGGAGCAUGACAAGGGCCAAUGAAGCUGUGUCACGCAUUUUAGGAGAAUGGCACAAAGCCAAGGUAGAAGCAAUGACCCUGGACCUCGCUGUGCUCCGUAGCGUGCAGCAUUUUGCUCAAGCGUUCAAGGCCAAGAAUGUAUCCCUUCACAUGCUUAUAUGCAACGCGGGGGUAUUUGCUCUCCCCUGGAGCCUCACCAAAGACGGCCUGGAGACCACCUUCCAGGUGAAUCACCUGGGACACUUCUACCUUGUCCAGCUCCUUCAGGAUGUCUUGUGCCGCUCAGCUCCUGCCCGAGUCGUCGUGGUCUCCUCGGAGUCCCAUAGAUUCACAGAUAUUAACGAUUCCUCGGGCAAACUGGACCUCAGCCGCCUCUCUCCAUCUAAAAAUGACUACUGGGCCAUGCUGGCCUACAACCGAUCUAAGCUCUGCAACAUUCUCUUCUCCAACCAGCUCCAUCGCCGCCUGUCCCCACGCGGGGUGACGUCCAACGCCGUGCACCCUGGAAACCUGUUGUAUUCCUCCCUUCAUCGCAACUGGUGGGUGUACACGCUGCUGUUUACGUUGGGCAGGCCUUUCACCAAGUCCAUGACUGGAUUCUCAGGUGCCUCCCCACUCUGUCUUCACUAAGGCCUCUGGAUCCUGCAAGGAAACUGCAGCAGAGAGACCAUUGCUUAGUGCGGGCUUCUGGUAAUGGCAUAAAGGUGGUUUCCAGCCAGUCUGGAUGCGUGGACGAAUAAACUUCUGCCCUGAAGUCCCUGAAUUAUUUAAGCACUGCCGGUGAUUCAGUAGAACCGUACAGUAGAACAUUUGCAUAUGCAUACACUUCAAGAGCAUCCGUCAGCCUACCCAGUACGUGGGUAUUUUCAGAUAGCGCAGGUGCCCAAAGCCUUUGUGCCCAGGCGUCUGCAGGCACCAUCCAUUUGUAAAACCAGGCCCCAAUCUACAUGCCCAACGCCAUUCCUAGACCCCCUUUGAUAAUCCUCACUGAGCAGACCCACUCGAUACAUCUUCGCUAAUGGCUUCUGACUUCAUAAAAUGUAUUAAUGACUUCUUUUUGAAAGUAA